rnacentral:rRNA from 1 species
UACCAGCACCCCGAGUGGUCGGGACGAUUAUUGGGCCUAAAGCAUCCGUAGCCGGUCCUGCAAGUCUUCCGUUAAAUCCAGCUGCUCAACAGUUGGGCUGCGGAGGAUACUAUAGAGCUAGGAGGCGGGAGAGGCAAGCGGUACUUAGUGGGUAGGGGUAAAAUCCGUUGAUCCAUUGAAGACCACCAGUGGCGAAGGCGGCUUGCCAGAACGCACUCGACGGUGAGGGAUGAAAGCUGGGGGAGCAAACCGG